GUGAGGAAUUUUCCGCAAUGGGCGAAAGCCUGACGGAGCAAUGCCGCGUGAAGGAUGAAGGCCUAUGGGUUGUAAACUUCUUUUCUUAGAAGAAUAUUGACGGUAUCUGAGGAAUAAGCAUCGGCUAACUCUGUGCCAGCAGCCGCGGUAAGACAGAGGAUGCAAGCGUUAUCCGGAAUGAUUGGGCGUAAAGCGUCUGUAGGUGGCUUCAAAAGUCUCCUGUCAAAGAUCAGGGCUUAACCCUGGGCCGGCAGGAGAAACUCUGAGGCUAGAGUUUGGUAGGGGCAGAGGGAAUUCCCGGUGGAGCGGUGAAAUGCGUAGAGAUCGGGAGGAACACCAAAGGCGAAAGCACUCUGCUGGGCCACAACUGACACUGAGAGACGAAAGCGAGGGGAGCAAAAGGGAUUAGAUACCCCAGUAGUCC
rnacentral:rRNA from 1 species